ensembl:lncRNA
AGUGACACGGUUGAGGAAAUGAAAAAUGAUCUGUUGACACUAUCGAGUCGCAGUGCAUCUGCCUGAGGACGGGCCUCCGCGUCUGCCACUGCACCAAACCGCUUCAGCGAGCAGAGCGCACAUGAUGACACAACUGUGCCAGGAGCUGUUUACUAAAGAAAACAUGAAUAAUGACAGGAACCGUCGAGGAAUCGUCCAGAGUGCAUGGGAAACAAGCAAGUGGGACAAAUUCAGCAGGAAAAGGUUGUCCCUGAGGAUUGGCCUCGUCACCCUAUUGACUAUGCCAGGAUCCGCAUCUCCCACAAUCCUCUGGCUCUCCUCUGGUGGUGUCUUUCUUUAGCCCCGUUUUUGGAUGUUGGCAGACACUGAUGAUGAACUGCUACAACUACUUGAACUACACUGGCACCCUCCCCCUUCCCAGAGUCUCUCCUCUUUUUCUCUUUGACAUGAAUUCCUGUGUGUUUUAAAUAAUUUCACUGCAUUUUCACUUGGAUCCAUCUCUAGACUUUUGGCAGCAGACACUUGCAGAAAUCAUAGUUAAUGCUCUUAACAUCAGCCGAUUAUCUGACUAUUAAUUGCAUUAGUUGCUAUUCUAAGAUCUUGAAUGAGCCCUGAUGUUAAUUAUAUUUUGGAUGCAUUUGAAUGUAGUGCCCAGGACUUUAUGUGAAAAAAGCCUCUAAAGAUUUAGAGAGAGUCAGAAAACAAAAAGCAGUAGCGAUUCUCGGCAGUGAACUGCCAAAAUAUGUCAGGAUUUGCAACUGACUUUGAAAACUUUUGAUCUGCUCAAAAAUUCUCAGAAGUGUGAAACUUAAAAUUGUGUUUUAGAUUUUGUCACAUUGCACGCCACGCUGGUUCAUUGUUUAAAUCAAAUCAGUAUGAAUCUGUCAAAUGAAUCUGUCAAAAAGUGAUGAUGCUUUUUUUUUUCUCGCAGUGCUCCAAAACAUGCAGUUUCCAGCUGAAAUGACCACUAUGCUCAUCAUUCAACAGUCAAUACAUAGUGAAUGACACUACCACAAAACUAAAAAUAAAUAAAUAAAUAAAUAAAUAAAUAAAUAUGGA